AAGGACUGGAACAAGGAUUGGAAUCCCCUAUAUUGGGUUACUGAUUUCUCGGAGUCAGAGAUAAAUGCAAUUGAGCAAGCAUUCCCUCAGACGAAAGUUUACUUGUGCCUUUUCCAUCGAAAACAGGCAUGGGGAAGAUGGUUGAAAAAAAAAGGAUAAUCUACGUGUACCAAAUGACAUGAAGACAUUUCUGGAUAUGUGGCAAGAAAUUUCAGAAUCACCAACAGAGAGAGAAUUUAGAGAUCGUGUAGAAGAGUUGCGAACGCAUGAGGUUUCUCGGAGAAAAGAGCGUGCAUGGCCAUACUUUCAACAGCAAUGGCUAACGGUAUGUGAAAGAUGGGUGAAAGCGUAUGAGGACAAGGGCAGAUUUGCAACUAUUGACACUACAAAUGGAGUUGAAGCAAUGAACAAGGUUGUAAAACAUUUUUUUCCUUAAACACAAUUCAGACAGGACUUUAACUGGGGUUACUAAGGUUAUAAUAAACCAGUUUCUUCCAAGCCUAAUUAGAAAGUACUGUCUGCAGAAUUCUGCCAUCAAAGCUUAUAACAAAGAUGUUCCACUGUUUUUGCAUAAAAAAACAAACAAGUUUGUGAAACAUGUCAUGCAGCGAUAUGCAUCAGCAAAAGUUGAGUUAACUGCAAGAUCAGUGAGUAGGAGAUCGGAUGGUUCAUUUUGUGUGGAGAGUGCAAAGUCCAAAAACUGUAAUUAUGUAGUAAACUUUGAUAUACCAGAUUGCACAUGUGAAGAUUUUCGGAGAUAUAAAUACUCAUGCAAGCAUUUCUGUGCAAUCUUUAUUUUUUACCCAGAGUGGGGUUUUGAUAAAAUGCCAGAAAGUUAUGACUAGUCCAUUAAUCUGUCUUGAUGAAAUGUAUGGGGUGGGCUUUAGAAGUGGCUCUUCAGUAAUUUCAUAUGAAGGCAGUAGUAGUGACGAAGCUGUUGAGGAGGCAGUUGAAGCAGCUGAGGAGGCUGUCGAGGUUGAGGAGGCUGUCGAGGCAGCAAAUACAGAUGGUGUUGUUCAAACCAAGAAUAUUCCUUUGCAGCAGUUUGAAGCAAGGGAGCUGUGUAAACAGAUUUAUAAUCUCACAUACAACUGCAGCAAGAGCGAAACAUUACAAAAAGUACUUGAAUCACUGAGCAACUGUGUGCAAGAUUUGCAAUUAGCAAAUCCUGAAGUUGGUGGUCUCCCAUUAGCAGUGCCAUCAACUUCCAAACAAUAGCGAAGAACAAUGCCAAAAGCCUUACAAGAUCUGUCUUAAACACAUUAUAACAUCCCAUUUGAAGGGUAAGAAAUGACUGUUUAUUUGAAUUUUAGAUAGCUCUUUGUCUAUGUAAAAUACAAAUAAGCUCCGUCAUUUCUGAUCCUCGAGAUGGAAUGCUAUGAGGUCUUUAUGUUGGUCUCUGCUUUUAAACUUUGUUGCACAUUUGAAUUUCGAAGUAGCAAUAGAUAAAAUAUUAUAAAACGGGUAGUUGCUACAUUUGUGUGUGUGUUUGUGAGUGAGCGAGUGUGCGCGCGCGCUUUUGAAAAGGCCCUUGUUGCCCGAAAGAUAAGUCCGACAGUCUUUUUGUUGUGCCUUUCUGUGACUCAGCAUCUUCACCAUUUGGUGAGCAGCAACAACUAUCCUUUUCAUAAUAUUGUUACAUUCCAUCCUGGAUUUUUCGUUGUUCAUCAGAGAAAAGAUUUUUCUGAGGAAUUAAACUAGAUGGUAGUGUAGAACUUGCAAACUUUUUAAAAUAUGAAGUAAAAGAUUUUAACUUUAAAUUAGGUUAAUUCAAAUAUGGGACAAUGUUGAGAAUUGAAAAGGUGGAAAAAAUAAAUAAGAUAUAUCUUAGUGGCAUUGAGAUGUCGUAUGACUGAUGGAGGAAAGAUUUUGCAUUUCUUUUUCCAAGUAAGAAUGCACUUGCUCUCACUUGCUUCAAAACAUGUCUAGUGAUUCAUGUGAAACAGAGAAAAAGAUACUGCCCUGUUAAUGAACAUGAGAUUGCCCAGUAUCACUCUGACAGAAGAGUAUGGUGUUUCCUUGAUAUGGUAUCUGGUCAGCAAUGUCAUUGGGACCAAAUGAAAGUUACUGCAGAUACCACACAGAAGCAAUUACUGUUACUGGAAUACCAGUAAUGUUUAUUAAAUUCAGUUGUAAAGUAGUUCUGGGCAUUGCAGCUGGCGAGCAAUGUCAUUGGGCACCAAAAGAAGUUCAGUUAUGAUGGAUUUCUGGCCUUCAGUCCAUGGGAAAAUUCACACCAGAUUGCAUCAAGACUGUUAUAUUCCAAGGAUAUCUUGGAAGAUUGAUAGUAUUCCUGAAGGAAAACAAUCCAUAUAGUAUUUCACGUGUGUAUCAAACUGCCAUUUGUUGUGGCACAUAAAUGUUUGCAAUUUGAUUGUAAUUUUCGAACAGUUCCUCAACAGUCCAAGGAUUUCUUGUAAUGAGAAGUAGACAUUGUUGCUUCGGUAAAGGAAAUACAAAUCACGGUCAAUAUAACUACCUUAUUAACUUUCCACAGAGAAAUAUUUUUCACUACUGCUACUUAAAAAUUCAAAUGUGUGACAAAGUUUGCUUACAGAACUUGGCAUAAAGAUCUCCCUUAUUAGUAUUUUUUAGGUAGCUCUUAUUGUUUGAUCCUUCAAAUGGAAUGCUAUGACCUCCAUGUGAUCUAUUCCUUAGUAGUUAAUUAUCCAUUAAGGCACAAAUAUAUGAACAUUACAAUGAGAGGGGUCUUUAUGCUAGGCCCUGUAAAAGUAAUGGCAUCUUACUUAAUAUUAUUGUUGGGAAUUUGAUGGCACAGCUGUGGGGAGACCACAAAUUUCAGGGUUUGCUAACUGCAAAUCUGGCACACAGUUGCUGAGUGAUUCAAGUACUUUUCAUAAUGUUUCACUGUUGAUACAGUUGUAUGUGAGAUGAUAAACCUGUUUGAACACCACCUUCACUUCAAAUUGCUGCAAAGAAAUGGUUAAGGUAUCAGUGUGAUGCUCUAUAUGUGUUUCCUCAACUGUGUCCUCAUUGCUACUGUCUUCAUGUGAAAUUACUGCAGACACACUUCUGAAACCAAACCUGUACAUCUUGUGAAGACAGAUUAAUGGGCUGUUCCUGCAGCUUUCUGGUAUUUUAUCAAAACCCCACUCUGGAUAGAAAAUAAAGAUUGCACAGAAAUGCUUGCAUGGGUAUUUAUAUAUCUCAAAAUCUUCACAUGCGCAGUUUGGUAGAGCAAAGCUUACAACAUAAUUAGUCUUUGAACAUUGUACUCUCCAUAUAAAACAUUGUCCAACUUCACAUUCACUAAUCUUGCAGUUAAUUCAACUUUCCCUGGUGCGUAUCACUGCAUGACAUGUUUCACAAACUUGCUUUUUUCAAAAAAAAAAAAAAAAUGAAAAAACAGUGGAACAUGUCUGUUAUGAUUUGAUGGCAGAAUUCUGCAGACAGUACUUUCUAAUUAGGCUUGGAAGAAAUUGAUUUCUUAUAUCCCUAGUAGCCCCAUUGAAGGUCCCAUCUGUGUUCCAUUUUAGGAAAAAAAAUGUUUACAAUCUUGUUCAUGGCGUCAACUCCACUUGUAAUGUCAAUGGUAUCAAAAUUUAUGUUCAUGUAAUAUUUUUAACAUUGAUUGUAGUAAGGUGUAA